GAAAGAAUUGUCCAGCUGGGAGUCGCUGGAAUAUUGAUGGAAUAUCACUUCUUGCUAUUUAAUUCAUUCAUCUGGGAUAGAAAAGGCAUCUCUUGGGGAUGAUUUAGGUCAGUGGUGUCCAAGUAUUUUUAGUAUGGAGGCACAUUUUCAUCUAAAAACAUUUAUAGACCUGCAAAUAAAGGUACUCGCAUUUGAGAAAUGCAUUGAUAGAACAAAUGCUUAAUGGCAGGGGCCAUCACCUUUAAAGUAAUUUGAAUGCUGGUAAUCACAACCUUUUUAAUAUACUAUCCCAAAGUUGAGUUACUGCUUACCGUCUGCAACUCUCUGUGCCUGUCUUCACCACUGGACCAGAAAUACCUACCACAGGGGCAGAAUUGGUUUGACUUGUCCACCAUCUGUUGUAUAUUUCAGCACCCAGCACAGUUCCCAGCACAAAGUAGGCACCUUCUGUAUAUUUGUAGACUGAAUCAGUAAAUACAAUAGAAGUGUCAGAGUAUAUGUACAUGAGUCAUACUAUUUAGCCAGUCCGUAGGUACUGAUUCAUGCAAAUAUGGCGCCCCCAACUAUGGGAGCCCACAGACCGGAAACUGUGGAUUCAGAUUUACAUCUUUGCAUCCAGUAUUUUGUUCCCUUUUCCCCACAGGGAGUUUAUGUUCAGUAGACCACAACCACCUGGACAAAUGAUAACUACAGGUGGGAGCCUGUGCUUGUUGACCUCCCGAAGUCCCUUCCAAAAUGGUAGGUCCAUGAAGGGGACAGAGUGCACCGUUCAGAAAGGCUGGAACUUCCCAACACCCACGGAGAGAGGGACAUUGAUGACAGCUUCUUUCAAGAGCCAGUUUCUUACAUUUGUAGGAGCAAAAGUCGGUGGAGGGAAGCACUUUGGCCUCCAUGACUGAGAAAACAGACAUGGCAACUUGGAAGUCACCUGUCUUCUAGUUGAAAACUUCACCAUUUCUAUGAUCUUACCUGCAUGGGUCCUAGUUAACAGCACUUUACUCAUCUUCAUUUCUCCCUGCAAAUUCUCUCCAAAUUCACUAUUUGACUUUAUUGGGACCUUCACUUUGAUCUCAGCGAGGAAACAGAUGGGAUUACACGGUGUCUCCAGGAUGAAGUCAAGUAAGUCAGGCAUUGCCAAGAUUUCCACAGAAAUCUGUUCCUGGGUAGAGGUAUGUCGACCUUAACCAUAGCAGUCAUUCGCAUUUAUCCUGCAAAUGAGACAUGAGAGGCUCAUAUUGACAAUCCCCCAAUACUCAUCCCCCCAAUUUUAAUAAGCAGCGGAACCUCUGAGUUUCAUCUGGGUACGUGGACACUAGGAAUAAAAAUGAGAUCUUCCAGCCCCGCUUUGCA
rnacentral:lncRNA from 1 species